AACCUAGCACACCUGCGGUGUGUACCUGCGGAAGGAUCAUUAACCUUUCAAAUCAGGGUGCGGCGCGGCCCCCGAGGAGCGGAAACAAUCCUUGGGAGGUAUGCGGGGGCUUCGAGCCCCCCAUUUACGCACGCACGACUGCCAUCCUUACUUUACGAGCACCUUCUGUUCUCCCUCGGCGGGGCAACCUGCCGUUGGAACCGAAUAAACUCUUUUUGCAUCUAGCAUUACCUGCUCCGA
rnacentral:misc_RNA from 1 species